GAGAGAGAGAGAGAGAGAGAGAGAGAGAGAGAGAGAGAGAGAGAGAAGCAGAGAAAAAAAGCAGAGAGAGAGAGAGAGAGAGAGAGAGAAAGAGAGAUAAACACAUCCCCUUCACUUCCUAAUUACCUUGGCAUUUCAAUUUUAUGGGAAACUUAUUUAUGUUUAUCUUCUUAAUUAACUAUUGCCCAUUAAUAAAAGCAAUUUCCAUCCCUUCUUCCUUUCUUAAUUACAUCUUAAAGUAUUGAUUUUGUGGGACUUGCAUUAAUGACUUCCUUGUAGAUUGCUUAUUCCUCAUUAGCAAAAGCAAUUUCUAUGACCCUUCUUCUUUUCUUAAUUAUCUGAGUAUCAAUUUUGGAGGUGUCUAAUUACGACUUUCUUGUAUAUGGUUGAUUGCCCAUUAGUAAAAGCAAAUUCUAUGACCCUUCUUCAUUUAAUUGUAUCCUAAAGUAUAAUUAUAAGGGUCAUCUAUAAAACUUUCUUGUAACUUAACUGGUCAUUAGUAAAGCAAUUUCUAAAACCCUUCUUCCUUUCUAAAUUAAAUCCUAAAGAAUCCUAAUUAGGGUCAUCUUUAAUAGCAUUCUUGUAACUUAACCGGUUAUUAGUAAAGCAAUUUCCAAAACCCUUCUUCCUUUCUAAAUUAUAUCCUAAAGUAUAAUUAUCAGUGUCAUCAUUAGGACUUUCUUGUGACUGCUUAUGAUCAUUAUAAAAGCAAUUUCUAAAACCCUUCCUCAUUUAAUUAUAUCCUAAAGUAUAAUUAUUAGGGUCAUCUUUAGGACUUUCUUGUGACUGCUUGUGGUCAUUAGUAAAGCAAUUUCAACACCCCUUCUUCCUUUCUAAAUUAUAUCCUAAAGUAUAAUUAUUUGGGUCAUCAAUUUCUAAAACCCUUCUUCCUUUCUAAAUUAUAUCCUAAAGUAUAAUUAUUAGGGUCAUCAUUUGGACUUUCUUGUAAUUGUUUGUGAUCAUUAGUAAAGCAAUUUCUAAAAGUGUUCCUUUCUUUUUUUCUUUUUUGUAUUUCGUUGGGGAUAUAAUUAAAUACUAAAGAUUCAUAAUUAAGGUCAUCUUUAAUAGCUUUCUUGUAACUUUACCGGUCAUUAGCAAAACCCGAUCCCUUCAAUUAUCUAAAAAGAACUGAUUUUGGGGGUAACUUAUUUAUCAUUUUCUAUACACAUGGUCUAGUGGUCAGCGUGCCUACCUACCACACCGCAGGCCUAGGUUCGAAUCCCAGCCCGGUCAGUCGAAGAGCAGGUCACCCACACACCCAGCUGUUCAUCCUCCCUUUCCGACAGUCAUGUGGAACUAUAGUGAUUGUAUGUAUGUUUGUAGAGUGUAUAGUCUUGCAUGUGUGUUUGUGUAAUGUAUAGUGUCUGUAUGUAUGUCUGUGUAUGUAUAGUGUAUAGCAUAUGUCUGUAUGUAUAAUGUAUAAUGUCUGUCUGUCCAUCUGUAUGUAUGUGUGUAUGUCUGCAUGUAUGUCUGUGUAUGGGUCUAUCUAUGUAUGUCUGUAUGUUAUGUCUAUGUAUGUACUAGUGGUCAUUUCCAGGGGUAGUUUUAUGACCCUGGUGGUAGUCUGACCCUUCCUCUGUACCGAGAACCUUCAGUAACACUCAUUUGACACGGCUUUCGUAGGAGUUGCGGGCAUUUCCAGGGGUAGUUUUAUGACCCUGGUGGUAGAAUGACCCUUCCUCUGUACCGUGAACCUAAAGAAACACUCAUUUGAACCCAAUUAAUUUACUUUUUGGCCUUUGGAAAUAGUUGACGUGUGAGAUGGAUGCGUCUGAGUAUACUGAGCUAACGACCAUAUCCUUGAACACAUUUGACAGGCCUUUAUAGGAGUUUGAGGCAUGUCCAUGGAUAGUUUAAUGACCCUGGUGGUAGUUUGACCCUUCGUCUGUACCAUGAACCUAAGAAAACACCUAUUUGAACCCGAUUAACCUCUUUUAUGGGCUUUGGAAGUGAUUGAUGUGAGACCUAGCCUAGGCCCCGCGCCCCCACCUGUCAGGCUGCACGGGUGGGCGGGGCCAGGUGUGGGCGCGGUGCUGUAUGAAGGUUGUAAAUUACUCUCCGUGUUGACAGGGGCACUGAUAUAUUUGCAUACCUGGGUAAACACUAGUCUACCUGCCUAGAUUACCUGGGAAGGGAGGGAGACGCGGUACAGAUGAGGGGCGGAGGGGCAGCGGCCACCCGGCGCCGGCUAUGUGCAGGGUUGCAGUGUGCCGCCUGCUGCCGCUCACCUGCUGCUGCUGCUGCUGCUGCCUGGUGAGGGCCGCGGCCGCCGCCAGGGGGCCGCCUCUCUCUCUUUCUCUCUCUCUCUCACACACACACACACACACACACACACUACAUGGCUAUUUUGUAUAUUCAUUUUCACACAUGCACUGAUAGUUUUACUCUCUCUCUCUCUCUCUCUCUCUCUCUCUCUCUCUC